AAAGCGAAGAGCAACUGCAAUUACUUGUGCAUUCGUCCAUUUCAAGAUUGUGCAAAGUUAUUAUUCAGAAAAAGAAACCCAUCUACACAAAAGAAAAAUGAUUCCAUCCGAAAUAUUUUAGUGCAGUCAAAUUAAAACAAAUAGUAGGGAGAACUGUUUGAGAUACAUACAACAUUCCUGUUGGCCAGUCUUCUCCGCCAUCGGCAUCCAACCGUUGCUUUUGCCGUCGUGCCAUAGCACCCAUUUCCCAACCUCGUCAUGUCGGGCACACACUUCACUAAUUAAAUUGCCUAUGAG
rnacentral:lncRNA from 1 species